rnacentral:rRNA from 1 species
AACGCUAGCUACAGGCUUAACACAUGCAAGUCGAGGGGCAGCAUGAACUUAGCUUGCUAAGUUUGAUGGCGACCGGCGCACGGGUGAGUAACACGUAUCCAACCUGCCGAUGACUCGGGGAUAGCCUUUCGAAAGAAAGAUUAAUACCCGAUGGCAUAGUUCUUCCGCAUGGUGGAACUAUUAAAGAAUUUCGGUCAUCGAUGGGGAUGCGUUCCAUUAGGUUGUUGGCGGGGUAACGGCCCACCAAGCCUUCGAUGGAUAGGGGUUCUGAGAGGAAGGUCCCCCACAUUGGAACUGAGACACGGUCCAAACUCCUACGGGAGGCAGCAGUGAGGAAUAUUGGUCAAUGGACGAGAGUCUGAACCAGCCAAGUAGCGUGAAGGAUGACUGCCCUAUGGGUUGUAAACUUCUUUUAUACGGGAAUAAAGUGAGGCACGUGUGCCUUUUUGUAUGUACCGUAUGAAUAAGGAUCGGCUAACUCCGUGCCAGCAGCCGCGGUAAUACGGAGGAUCCGAGCGUUAUCCGGAUUUAUUGGGUUUAAAGGGAGCGUAGGCGGACGCUUAAGUCAGUUGUGAAAGUUUGCGGCUCAACCGUAAAAUUGCAGUUGAUACUGGGUGUCUUGAGUACAGUAGAGGCAGGCGGAAUUCGUGGUGUAGCGGUGAAAUGCUUAGAUAUCACGAAGAACUCUGAUUG